GGUUAGAGCGCGCGCUUGAUAAGCGUGAGGUCGGAAGUUCAAGUCUUCCCAGGCCCACCACACUCAUCGAGUGAGCAUUCGUCUUCUGGUUACGGGGCCAUAGCUCAGCUGGGAGAGCGCGUGCUUUGCAAGCAUGAGGUCGUCGGUUCGAUCCCGUCUGGCUCCACCAGAUGGUUUGAUCACCGACUACUUGUACCGUCGUCCGCGAAACAUCACUUCGCACUUACUAGUCCGGAUGGACAGUAAGCUGCGUGAUUUCUGACAUCGUAAAGAGGAGAUCGAUCCGAGUUGGAUCGGGCAACAAGUAAUUGUUGCGCGAUACUUCAUUAUCUCCGGAUCAUUUCGGCGCUCGUGCGUCUUCCAGGGUAGCUCACAAGGCUGCGUCUGAAGGACACGCGAGUUGUAAAUGAUCCUUUUAGCGAAGCUUGACCGCCUCGCUAUCGGAACGAUCUUACGAAGCAAGCUGGUCUUUCUAAUCAUUGUCCGGCUGCAGAUAGCGUUCAUCGAGGGCGCGUGCCUUAGAGACUUAGGUUUCUUGGCAAUUCUGCAGACAACAUUCUGCCGAGUGUGUGGACAUUGAUAAUGAGAGCAAUCAAGUGCCUUAAGGGUGUUCGGUGGAUGCCUUGGCGCUGAGAGGCGAUGAAGGACGUGCUACGCUGCGAUAAGCCGUGGGGAGCUGCGAAGAAGCUUUGAUCCAUGGAUUUCC
rnacentral:misc_RNA from 1 species